AGAUUUGAACAUCGGUAAAGUACUGUUAUAGUAAUUUAGCCUCUGAAGUGUCUAGUCCAAUGCAGGAGAUAAUAAAAUAUAUUCAUUAAAAUAAAGUGUUUUGUUUUUGUGGUUCUUCUCUCUUAUUUCAGUAUUACUAAGGCUCAUACUGUUUCUCACAGUUCAGACUAAUACAAGCAGUGAAUGGAAUCUUGUCUUCAAAAUAGCGACUGGAGGUUCUGGUGGCAUUUAUGAUUUAUACACCAAUAGCCAGACAGAAAAUAGUGAUGAUCCCGAAGCACGUUUGUUUACUUCAACUUCUAAACACUUUAAAUCGGACAUUAUGAACAAAUGGAGUUCUGUUGGAAUUGAACAAGUAAUUAUUUAUUCAAGUGUUUAAAACAUUGAAUUUAGAUACAAUUUCAGUUUUGUGAUUGGAAUUUUUUGGACAUUUUGUACAUUCACGUAUUAUAGAAUAUAUUAAAUUGACUCUUUAAUGAAUA